GCCUUCGUGGUUUAACGGUAGCACAUUCAACGCCUAUUCGAGAAGCCCAGGUUCGAGUCCCGGCGAGAGCA
rnacentral:tRNA from 1 species